UACGAUCACAUCACGUUAAAAACACCGGUUCCAGUACGAUCACCGAAGUUAAGCAACGUUGAACCUAGUCGGUAUGGGUAACCGCUUGUGAAUACCAGGCGCUGUAAG